AGCUUCCUGAUUUUGCCGGCCUUUUGCCUCUGAUUCCCAACUUACCUGAUGUGCCUCCCAUAGGUGGUGGUCCACCUGUUAACCAGCCAAAGCCGUCGUCACCAUCACCCCUAGUUAAGCCGCCACCACCACCACCUUCACCAUGUAAGCCAUCACCACCUGAUCAGUCUGCAAAGCAACCACCACAACCUCCUCCAGCAAAACAACCAUCACCUCCACCUCCUCCACCACCAGUUAAGGCACCAUCUCCAUCUCCAGCAAAGCAACCACCACCUCCUCCACCGCCAGUUAAGGCACCAUCUCCAUCUCCAGCCACUCAGCCACCUACAAAGCAACCGCCACCGCCGCCACGUGCUAAGAAAUCGCCUCUUCUACCUCCUCCGCCACCAGUUGCUUAUCCGCCAGUUAUGACACCAUCUCCAUCACCGGCUGCUGAGCCACCUAUUAUAGCACCAUUUCCAUCACCACCAGCGAAUCCACCCCUCAUUCCCCGUCGACCAGCACCACCAGUAGUUAAGCCGCUUCCACCUUUGGGGAA
rnacentral:lncRNA from 1 species